rnacentral:rRNA from 1 species
GACGAACGCUGGCGGCGUGCUUAACACAUGCAAGUCGAACGGAAGGGCCCUGCUUUUGUGGGGUGCUCGAGUGGCGAACGGGUGAGUAACACGUGAGUAACCUGCCCUUGACUUUGGGAUAACUUCGGGAAACUGGGGCUAAUACCGGAUAGGAGCUCCUGCUGCAUGGUGGGGGUUGGAAAGUUUCGGCGGUUGGGGAUGGACUCGCGGCUUAUCAGCUUGUUGGUGGGGUAGUGGCUUACCAAGGCUUUGACGGGUAGCCGGCCUGAGAGGGUGACCGGCCACAUUGGGACUGAGAUACGGCCCAGACUCCUACGGGAGGCAGCAGUGGGGAAUAUUGCACAAUGGGCGGAAGCCUGAUGCAGCAACGCCGCGUGCGGGAUGACGGCCUUCGGGUUGUAAACCGCUUUCGCCUGUGACGAAGCGUGAGUGACGGUAAUGGGUAAAGAAGCACCGGCUAACUACGUG